UACGUAGGGGGCGAGCGUUGUCCGGAAUUACUGGGCGUAAAGGGCGUGUAGGCGGGGAUGCAAGUUAUUGGUAAAAACCCGGGGCUCAACCUCGGGCUUGCCGAUAAAACUGUAUCUCUUGAGUGCAGGAGAGGGGAAUGGAAUUCCCGGAGUAGCGGUGAAAUGCGUAGAUACCGGGAGGAACACCAGUGGCGAAGGCGGUUCCCUGGCCUGUAACUGACGCUGAGGCGCGAAAGCUGGGGUAGCGAACGGGAUUAGAUACCCCGGUAGUCCCAGCCGUAAACGAUGGUCACUAGGUGUGGGGAGUGUUCAAGCUUUCCGUGCCGGAGCUAACGCAAUAAGUGACCCGCCUGGGGAGUACGGCCGCAAGGUUGAA
rnacentral:rRNA from 1 species